CAGCAGCCGCGGUAAUACGAAGGUGGCUAGCGUUGUUCGGAAUUACUGGGCGUAAAGGGCGCGUAGGCGGCCAUUCAAGUUAGAUGUGAAAGCCCUGGGCUCAACCUAGGAAUUGCAUUUGAUACUGUUUGGCUUGAGUUCGGGAGAGGUGAGUGGAAUUCCCAGUGUAGAGGUGAAAUUCGUAGAUAUUGGGAAGAACACCAGUGGCGAAGGCGGCUCACUGGACCGACACUGACGCUGAGGCGCGAAAGCGUGGGGAGCAAACAGGAUUAGAUACCCCCGUAGUCCCUGUCUCUUAUAC
rnacentral:rRNA from 1 species